ensembl:snRNA U6 U6 spliceosomal RNA
GUGCUCACUUCAGCAGCACAAAUACUAAGAUUGGAACAAUACAGAGAAGAUUAGCAUGGCCCCUGUGCAAGGAUGACAUGUAAAUUCGUGAAGCAGCCCAUAUUUUU